GGUAAAAAGCACUAGUGGUUAGGCCACAGCGCUUUCACCGCUGCGGCCUGGGUUCAAUUCCUGGCCA